rnacentral:tRNA from 1 species
AAUGAAAUGCCUGAAAAAAGGGUUAUUUUGAUAGAAUAAAUUAUAUAAAAAAUUUUUUUUUAUUUUCAUUA